rnacentral:tRNA from 1 species
GAUUUUGUAUUCAAAUAUGAUUUUAAAUUGCAAAUUUAAAGGUAGUUAAUACUCAAGAUCU